rnacentral:pre_miRNA from 1 species
AGUAGAAUUACUGGGUCAUAUAGUCAUUCAAAUUUAACUUUUUGAGGAGCUGCCAUCUAGUUUUCUAAAGUGGCUACAGCACUUUGCAUUUCCACCAGCAAU